CUCCGGUGAUCCUGCCCGGACCCGACUGCUAUCAGAGUGGGACUAAGCCAUGCGAGUCAACGCAGCAAUGCGUGGCAUACGGCUCAGUAACACGUAGUCAACAUGCCCAGGGGACGUGGAUAACCUCGGGAAACUGAGGAUAAACCGCGAUAGGCCAAGAUUUCUGGAAUGGAUAAUGGCUGAAAUCUAUAUGGCCCCUGGAUUGGACUGCGGCCGAUCAGGCUGUUGGUGAGGUAAUGGCCCACCAAACCUGUAACCGGUACGGGCUCUGAGAGGAGGAGCCCGGAGAUGGGCACUGAGACAAGGGCCCAGGCCCUAUGGGGCGCAGCAGGCGCGAAACCUCUGCAAUAGGCGAAAGCCUGACAGGGUUACUCUGAGUGAUUUCCGUUAAGGAGAUCUUUUGGCACCUCUAAAAAUGGUGCAGAAUAAGGGGUGGGCAAGUCUGGUGUCAGCCGCCGCGGUAAUACCAGCACCCCGAGUGGUCGGGACGUUUAUUGGGCCUAAAGCAUCCGUAGCCGGUUCUACAAGUCUUCCGUUAAAUCCACCUGCUUAACAGAUGGGCUGCGGAAGAUACUAUAGAGCUAGGAGGCGGGAGAGGCAAGCGGUACUCGAUGGGUAGGGGUAAAAUCCGUUGAUCCAUUGAAGACCACCAGUGGCGAAGGCGGCUUGCCAGAACGCGCUCGACGGUGAGGGAUGAAAGCUGGGGGAGCAAACCGGAUUAGAUACCCGGGUAGUCCCAGCUGUAAACGAUGCAGACUCGGUGAUGAGUUGGCUUCUUGCCAACUCAGUGCCGCAGGGAAGCCGUUAAGUUUGCCGCCUGGGGAGUACGGUCGCAAGACUGAAACUUAAGGGAAUUGGCGGGGGAGCA
rnacentral:rRNA from 1 species